CACAACCUCUCCACCAGCCCAAAGGAUUCAAAUGACUGGAACUAGAGGAGGCAUCUUGAGGGUUUGCAUUUUACAGGUGAGAGUUCCAGUAUUUCAAAUGUAGUGUUUAUCCAAUUGCUGGGGGCUCUGGAGAGCUUUUGACAGGUUGAUGUCACUGUGGGCUAGACUGGAUGACCUGCAGCAAAAUAGUAGUGUCCUGAAAUGUGAGGCUGCUCCCUUUGUCUUGUCCUCAUGCUGCCCUGGUUUGUGUUGGUGCAAACACACCCUGUAAAAGACGUUGAAUGUUGGUAGCUUUGUUUAAUUGAAGGAUCUACUCUGGAGCCCUUAGAGUGGUCUGCAUACGAGAUAGGAAUGACACGUUGUACCUAGGUAGGAAGAAAAGCAGCUGUGGUUCACAUUAAAAUGUGAUGGAGAAGGGAGGGAAGUUGCAUUUCAAUUCUUUGAUGUGGGCAAAAGAGUUUGUUCAUUUUCAGAUACAAGAGAAAUAGGAUUUUAAGCAAUGCUUCUUACUUUGAGUAAAAACUCCAUUUACAGCAUCCUCUUUGAACUGCUGCUUAGAUGUUUGUUUCUGGAGCACAUGCAGUGAGUUUGCCAAAUGCUUGGCAAGGGACAGGGGCCUGUUAAAAAUUAACUAGAAACUGAGAUAAAUCACAUACAAAUAGCUCAGGGAGCAUGGUGAAUUCAUCAGUGCCUCAUGCAGUUGCUUGUCUCACAGCUGCCCAAAUUCCUUUGUAAUGUGUUUUGGGUUUCUUAGCUUCAAGAUGCCCUGUCCAGCAGUUUCUUCAGGAGAGAAUGUCAGAUGCAUUUCUUUGAGCAGCAUUUUAAUCUGAAGCACAGCAUUUUGUAUGGUAUGAAUGACUGGCCCAAUCUUGCACCCCAGAAGCCAGUGGCAGCUGGGUCCAUAGUGUCUUGCCUGACUGUGGUGGUGGAAAGGGGCCGAGUGAAAAAAGUCCAGGCUUCUGGAAGUCAAAGACCUGUUAAUAAAGCUUCUCCCCUUUGAUAAUGCUGGAUAAUGGAAGCUUUUAACUGUGUUACUGCUUUGAACCAGCUGAUGUUGCAGGUUAGGCUGGUUGACCUGGGUCUCUGUGGCUGUGUGUCAAGAUGACAGUGUGUGGCAGGAGAAUUUGUGAGUUCAAGUGAAUGGCACUUACCUACUCUGGGUGCAUGAUGUAAGCGUUUGCUCUCCUUUCUUAUCUGUCACAUUGAUGAGUUUACUCACCUUUCUUACAGCAGUAAGAAAGUAAUAUGGGUGUGGAGAGGCGCACAGAGAAAAUUUCUACUCGCCCCUUGAAUGUGUUCAGGGAGCUCACAAACAGCCUGACCCCUCACCUGAAAGGCUGGUGGGCAAGGCUUGAGACCAUUGGAGCAGCCUGUGCCUGUUCUGCUGCAGCUCUGUGCAGUUCCCUUAUGAGUGCAAGAUGUUUCUCUUCCCCAAAGGGAGUUGUUGCCACUGAAAUAUGAAGCAGGGGUUGUCUGUAUUGAGUGUCAGGACAGAGCCAUCAUUCCAAGGAUAUUUUAAAUAGCAAGGUUUGAAAAUCCCUCUCACACAAUAUUUUGCGUGCUGCAGGAUUACCUUGUAGUUGCUGUUGGCAGCCUCGGCUGUUGGCAGUGUGGUUUGGAGAUGCUGUAUUCCUAGGCUGUUCCAGGCAGACUGGCUGUUGGAAAACUCACAAGUCAUUGUCAGUUCAGGCCAGAAAUGGAGUCCAGUUCUUUUGCACUUGUGUACUGCUGAGUGCAGUUGCAGGAUUUCUUGCAUGCCCCAUUUGUGCCUCCUGUAGUUUCAUGCGUAGCUGCUUCUUAAAGUGUCAUAGCUCCAAUCUGUCUGCUGCAUGCUCAGGAUAUUGCCCUAUUUGGGGAGUUUGUGUGGUUUGUUACCUGCAGACUCGGACCCAGUGGCAGAACACAGGAUUUCAGUCGGAGCAGCAAGUGCAGAGGGUGGUUACGGAAUGGGUCUCCUCUAGUGAGGGUCUCUCUUUAGGGAGGAAGCAGACUUCCACAUCAGGGAAGGAAAAGGUCCUUAUCUUCAUUAGGGCACAUGAAAGUUUGGAUUUGCCCAAUGUCUUCUUAGUAUCCCAGCUGAUACCUCUGGCAAAACCUGGGAGAAACAUGAAGAGAGUUCCACGCUUUACAGACCACCUGGUCACAGCCAGCCAGAGAGGGGUAGUCAUCAUUGGUGUUUGCUGCAAUCCCAAACACACUCUUUGCACUAAGUGGUACCCUGGGAGGGGAUGGCUGAAUAAAAGAUGAAGAACGGGGUUAUAAAGAACUUGUGUGAGAUGCUGUGGGCUGGCCACAUGGUGACGAAGACAUUCCUUGAUGUACCAGGUAUUUUCUCUGCCUAUUUUUCAUAUUACUGCAAUAUUUUUUUUCAAGUCCCAGUCACGUAUCUUUAUUUGGCAAGCAAAUUACUCCAAUAAAAGCUGGCAGAGCAGUUCACAGUGAAUUUUGUAGUGAGUGUGCCAGGGCUGUUUGCUAAUACAGAGAUGAGCUGCUAGAAUGCUGAGGUCUCCUAACACCCCACAAAACUGCCUGGUGUACCUUGUGAGUAACGAAACAUCACUCAGUUCUAAGAGGCAACCUUCAGUAACAGAGUUCACCCAACUAUAAUAUCUUUAAAAUCAGGAUAGAACCAGUGGCAUAGGAAAAGAGAGUGACUGAAUUGCUCACAGUUUAACGACCCUUUAACUAUGCAAUAAGGAUUCCUGGCUCCUAUGCAAAUUGAUGUGCACCAUAGAGUUGUGGACUUUAUUAUUAGUGAGCAGUUCCAGUGGCUUCAAACCCUGUGUAUUCACUCCAAGAUACAAAUGGCUAAAGGAAUCCCCUAGACAUGCAUGAAUCGUGCAUAUUUGAGAGAGAGUACUCGGCGUUGGGACAGGGAAACUUUGAAGAGCUCCAACUUUGGUCCUCCAACUGUUCCAGGAAACUGAGGUAAGAUGACAACAUUCUUCGAGCCAACUCAACAUCAGAGGGACGGAAGUCAAAGUGUCUCUCUCUUGGACACAUCUCUGAAACCUGUUAAUCAAAUUUCUUGCCUUAGACAGUCUCACAGUUAUUUUCCUAAUUUAAAGUAUAACUGGCACUGCUCAGUACUUAUUUGGGUUUAGUUCUCUAUUUACAUUGUGCUGGAUGUGAGGAUGGUCUUUGCUGAGGAUUCUGGUGGUGUCAUCACCAGCUGAUGUGGCACAAUUGCAUGAGCUCCCAGAUGAGGAGCUCUUGCUUUUGUGCUAGACUUGAACCCAGGGCUGUGAGAUCAAAGCCAGUUUUCAUUGCAAGGCUUUUUUUUCUGUUCUUUGCAGUUCAAAGACACUGGUACUGAACAGGAGUGUAUGCAUGCCACAGUAAUCCUGCUUCACAUGUAAGGGAAUUCUGUCCUGCACUGUUCUGAUAGGGGGAAAAAAAUCUGCUGAGUCCAUUUCUCCAAGUUUUUGAUCUAAAAUGGGGGCAGGGCAACAGGCAAGGGUAGAGGUGAUGUGGUCCCGUUUCUGCUGGGGCACUGUGGUAUCAAAACAAUGAUGAUGUCUUCUUGAAAUUCCUUGAGAGUGUCAAUCUCAAAUUUUAGCACUGGUGUUGUAUACAAAUGCAGUAAAAUAAUUCUCUGAGUACACACUGUACUUUGUCUUUCCAGGUGUUUGCCAAACUCAAAAUGAAUAUAUCAAGAGUAUUCAGGGUAAGAGUCUGAAAUGAGAACAUGGGCUGUUGAAAUGCAUAACAAGAUAAAACCUGGGAGAAAACUGUGACAGAGGACUAUUCCUGGCCUGAAGAGAAGGAAGACCUCAGGCCAUAUUUUCAUCCCUUUUUUGAGGUUCAUAUGGAAAGAGCAGUCCUGGCUGAGGUGCGUGGCCGGAGGGAGCUGCCUGAAAAGAGCCUGUACAGAAAGAGCUGGAGAAGGAUCCUCACAACAGAACCCCUGAGUGACCUCACCUUGUCUAUUCAAAAGAUGGAGAGAAGGCAGCACAGUCACAGCGCAGCCAGGUGUGGAGGUGCCUCUCUGCAAGCAGGAGACAGCUGCCUGUUUUCUCAUCUGCAGGAGGAAGGAGCUCUGCUCUCCCACUCAUUCCCAAGGCUUUUCAAGUGUCACAAAGAGCUCCUGAAGUACUAGAGCAGCCUGUGUGGGGCAAGCCCUGCCCAGCCAGUGAAGACAGCACUUCCAAACAGCCUGGAAAAGGUGCCAGGUCACCUGCUGCGCUGGCAAAUGACUGUGCCAGCAGUGGCAGCAUAAGGCCAGACAGAUGUGACAGGGUAGUGCACAAGGAAAAUGCCCUCGCCCUCCCUCAUCUUAACCUGUACCAUAGUCCCGCCUGAGAGCGCGCUUCCUUCCGCAGGCUGCCAUCCCUCACAUAAUGUGAGCUUUGUGCACUUCAAAGGCUACUCCUUGGGCAUGAAGUAAUCCCAUCAUUACGGGGAGCCAGGGAUGUGUGUCUAAUCCCCAGCACUGCUGGGCAGGCACUGCUGGGGGAAGGGUAGGCAGGAAAGGACAGCAACCUCUCUGUGCCACACCAAAAUCAAUAUACAAAAUACAUCCCACUUCCUGGGACAGCAGAGGUGGGCCAGAGGGCAGGGCUGCUGCUGACCACCAAUGCUGAUGCCAGUCUCCUGUGCUGCAAGCAGCUACUACACACUCCCCUCUAAUGUUUGGUGUAGUGUCACUUUUUACCAUCCCAAAAAAUCCCAUUUUCAGAAGCUUCUGUGUUUGAACAUUUUACUUCCAGUUACUUUUUUCCUAUAUACAGAUUGAUUUUAUUGAAUUCUACUCCAACCUAUAGCAAUCUGAGAGGUUAAACUAGAACAUUAUAUCUGGCAGCAAAACAAAGACUAUGUCCAAUACUUUCUAUAAUUUUGCUAGUGAUAGGGAACUAAUUAUGUUUACAUGGUUGUUUGAAAAAUAAGCUUUGUUUCACCAUAAAUAAAAGCUGUUCUCUAGUCCACUUUUUUCCCCCAGAUUCUUUUAAGGCAAACUUUUGCUGACUAUAUUUACUACUCCUUCAGAGACAUUCCUAUUUUAAAGAUGCCAGCCAUGGUAAAAAUGUAAAUUUUCAAUUGCUCUUUCACAUUGGGAAUCCUCAAUUUUGCUUUUUAUACACAGAAGAGGUGUGGGUGUGAAAUGUAUCCCAGAACUAAAGGGAACAGCAGCUGUGUAAUUUGUCCUGAAGCACAAACUGUCAUCAACCUCAAGCCUGGGUGAUUCUUCAACUGCAGGAUGUGACUGUACACAGAUCACUUACCUGAUG